GCCCUUUUCAAAACUCUUGCUGCAAGGGGAUGCGGCGGCAAAUGGCUGGGAUGGAUCAGCUCUAUACUAUCUUCUAGCUCCUCGAGAGUCAUGAUCAAUUGUACACUAGGAGAACAGAUCAAACUGAAGUGUGGGUUACGACAAGGAGACACUCUGUCACCAUACUUAUUCAUUCUUGUGGCCGAUCUACUACAGCGAUUAUGCAUUGCAGAGCACCAACUGGGCAAUCUCGAGCACCCCCUUGCGACACAUGUGCCUUUCCCUAAACUGCAGUACGCAGAUGACACUUUGAUCUUCAUAAAGGGUACGUAUGAGCAAGCCUUAGUUAUCUACUAA
rnacentral:rRNA from 1 species